rnacentral:rRNA from 1 species
UAGUCCACGCCGUAAACGAUGGAUACUAGGUGCUCGAAUGUUUAACCGUUUGGGUACCAAAGCUAACGCAUUAAGUAUCCCGCCUGGGAACUACGGUCGCAAGGCUAAAACUCAAAGAAAUUGACGGGGGCCCGCACAAGCGGUGGAGUAUGUGGUUUAAUUCGAAGCAACGCGCAGAACCUUACCUGGGCUUGACAUCCUGUGACAGCUCUAGAGAUAGAGUCUUAUCUUCGGAUACACAGUGACAGGUGCUGCAUGGCUGUCGUCAGCUCGUGUCGUAAGAUGUUCGGUUAAGUCCGGCAACGAGCGCAACCCCUAUCCUUAGUUGCCAUCAUUAAGUUGGGCACUCUGGGGAGACUGCCGGUGUUAAACCGGAGGAAGGCGGGGAUGACGUCAAGUCCUCAUGGCCCUUAUGUCCAGGGCUACACACGUACUACAAUGGCAGAAACAGAGCGACGCAAUACCGCGAGGUGGAGCUAAUCGCAAAAACACUGUCCCAGUCCGGAUUGG